rnacentral:rRNA from 1 species
UGGGGAAUAUUGGACAAUGGAGGCAACUCUGAUCCAGCAAUUCUGUGUGUGUGAAGAAGGUUUUAGGACUGUAAAACACUUUUAGUAGGGAAGAAAGAAAUGACGGUACCUACAGAAGAAGCGACGGCUAAAUACGUGCCAGCAGCCGCGGUAAUACGUAUGUUGCGAGCGUUAUCCGGAAUUAUUGGGCUUAAAGGGCAUCUAGGCGGUAAGACAAGUUGAAGGUGAAAACCUGUGGCUCAACCAUAGGCUUGCCUACAAAACUGUUGAACUAGAGUACUGGAAAGGUGGGUGGAACUACACGAGUAGAGGUGAAAUUCGUAGAUAUGUGUAGGAAUGCCGAUGAUGAAGAUAACUCACUGGACAGAAACUAACGCUGAAGUGCGAAAGCUAGGGGAGCAAACAGG